rnacentral:rRNA from 1 species
GACGAACGCUGGCGGCGUGCCUAACACAUGCAAGUCGAACGGGGUAGCCCUUCGGGGUUACUUAGUGGCGAACGGGUGAGUAACGCGUGAGAAACCUGCCUCUCAGUGGGGGACAACAGUUGGAAACGACUGCUAAUACCGCAUAACACUUUAGUACCGCAUGGUACAGAAGUCAAAGCUUUAUGUGCUGAGAGAUGGUCUCGCGUCUGAUUAGCUAGAUGGCGGGUAACGGCCCACCAUGGCGACGAUCAGUAGCCGGUCUGAGAGGAUGAACGGCCACAUUGGGACUGAGAUACGGCCCAGACUCCUACGGGAGGCAGCAGUGGGGAAUAUUGCACAAUGGGGGAAACCCUGAUGCAGCAACGCCGCGUGAGUGAUGACGGCCUCGGUGUAAAGCUCUGUCUUCAGGGACGGAUAAUGACGGUACCGUGAGGAGGAAAGGCCAACGGCUAACUACGUG